rnacentral:sRNA from 28 species
UCAGAUCCAGGCAUAACAUCCAUCAGGGUGUAUUGCGGCAGAUACGCUGCCAUCCCGAAAGUAGAUCAGCGGGAUGACAGCGUAUUUGUCAGCCUGAAAGAUGACCCGUAUAACUAAAAAGGCCGCUCUGCGGCCUUUUUUCUUUCAAUAACCGAUU